rnacentral:pre_miRNA from 1 species
CUGUCUGUCUGUCUGUCUGUCUGUCUGUCUGUCUGUCUGUCUGUCUGUCUGUCUGUCUGUCACAGACAGACAGACAGACAGACAGACAGACAGACAGACAGACA